UCUGCGAAGCACUGCUCUUGCUAGGGUU
rnacentral:sRNA from 1 species